GUCCCGGAAUCAAUAACAGCAUGAACAGUCUCCAGCAGAAAUAGCUAACCGGUUACUCAUUUCUUGUCCCGGAAUCAAUAACAGCAUGAACAGUCUCCAGCAGAAAUAGCUAACCGGUUGCUCUGAGUGUGCAUUUGUGGAAACCAAUCAACAAAAAAGCUUGCACUCAUGGUCUUUGCUCCGGAAUUCCAUGGAGACUGCUUGAAUUGAAACUGUUACUGUAGUUAUUAAACCUGACCAGUCAAUGUGAUUGUAACAUGCAGUUGCAAAUAAUGUAGCUUUGUAUAUUCGUGACAUUAGCAGUAUAUGGGAUCAGAAUUCUCAGUUCUCUUCUUAGUAUUACAGCCACCUGCAAUGCUAUUGUGCACUGUCCAAUGAAAACCUUAAUCUUGCAUUGGACGUUCAUGGGCCAGACUUGUUUCCAUACCAGGUUAGCAAAGCUGUCGCCGCCAUCAUCGUCACCGAUUCUCCCUCAACCUUCUCGUUUCAUGAGAUCCACCACCUUAUAAUAUUUACGAACCUAACUUGUAUUCCAAAACUGCAUGCAUCUACUCGUUCACGUAUGAACUAAAUGGAGAUGACAAUGGGCGGGUUACAGUUCUCCCAUACCCAACCAUUUUGAUCAGGUUUGAGGUGGAGGGAAAUAGUUUUCCCCUUUGGGGUUUCGAGUGGGUCUAGGGAUUCCCCAUUAAUAUAAUUUCUUGCAUUUAAAAUUACUAUAUGAUUGCUAAUAUCCGAUGAAAAAGUUAGAUUAUAUACACACAAGUGUUGUUCAUAGUUAAAUAUAAGUUAUCAAAAUGUAAAUCUAACAAAUCAAUUAUUUAAAAAAUAUAACAGAAAAAAGAAAAAAAAAUACAUGAGUAUAUAUAAUCGGGCAUGGGUUUUCCACAACAUGGGAGUAUAUACCCCGUCCCCGUCGAGGAAAAAAUGCCCUCCACAGCCACCACCUCUGUCGGGCCGGAUUUAAUCGAUUACCUAUAGAGAUGGGUAAUUUUGCCAUCCCCAACCCUAAUUGCAAAUUAUAUGCUCUAGCUAGAGGAAAUAUUAGUGAAUUCCUCAGGCAGGUUGCACUGAUAAUAGUCCACAUGCAGGAGAAAAUGGUUUUUAAAUUAUGAUGGUUUUUAAUUUGGAAUCAAUUUUUUACAAAUCAAGGUGUUUGGAGCAUGGUUUUAAAACUCGAUCUGAGCAAAGUCCACAUCACUGGUUGGAGGGUUAAUCCAAAUGCAGAAAAACUGGACAAGCUAGCUGCUAGCUCUAGUGCUGACUGCAAGCAACUUUGUGAAUGUUAAGUGGCAGCAAUGAAGUCUUCCCCUAUUAACUCUGAGAGAGUUCAGCAACCCCCCAAACUUUGCCAACUCCAAGUCACCAUUCCUAGUGGCCCUAAAGUCGAUUGUAGCAAGUGUUCUUUGAGAAAAUAUAGCUUAAGGGCAAUCUUAUGCAAUUUCUUCAGGGAUUUGAUUCUUUUCUUGUUUUUGUGAUGUGCAGAAUUUGAUUAAACAGUGAAGAAACUCUUUGAGACGGUGAUAUGUAUUGAGGAAAUAAAGUUGGAGGGGUUGGGCAUGGCUAAAAAACGCACUAAGAAAAAUAUAUGCUUGUCUAUUUAAACAUGAAUCUAAUGUAAUAGAACUUCGAAGAAUUCAUAUGAUGUUUCAUGGGUGAAUUCAGAAAUGUUCCAUACCAA